AUUGAACGCUGGCGGCAGGCCUAACACAUGCAAGUCGAACGAGUGGCGGACGGGUGAGUAAUGCUUGGGAAUCUAGCUGAUGGAGGGGGAUAACUACGGGAAACGGUAGCUAAUACCGCGUACCAUAGGAUGAGCCCAAGUGGGAUUAGGUAGUUGGUGGGGUAACGGCUCACCAAGCCGACGAUCUCUAGCUGGUCUGAGAGGAUGACCAGCCACACUGGGACUGAGACACGGCCCAGACUCCUACGGGAGGCAGCAGUGGGGAAUAUUGCACAAUGGGGGCAAGCCUGACGCAGCCAUGCCGCGUGAAUGAAGAAGGCCUUCGGGUUGUAAAGUACUUUCGGUGGCGAGGCGUUACCCGCAGAAGAAGCACCGGCUAACUCCGUGCCAGCCGCCGCGGUAAUUC
rnacentral:rRNA from 1 species